rnacentral:tRNA from 1 species
AUUUAAGUAAUUUAAUAAAAAUAUUGAUUUGUGGCGUCAAAAAUGUAAAUUGUUACCUUAAAUU